GCCAAGGUUAUAGACAAUUUGUGAAAUGAGUGACUCUGAGGAUGACCAUAUCCCCCCGCUGUCUUCCCACACCUUAGCAGCCCUCCAGGAAUUUUAUGCGGAGCAGAAGCAACAAAGUGACCCAGGCAGGGAUAAUAAAUAUACAUUGGAAUAAUAGAAGAGAACUGGCAGCUGAGCCAGUUUUGGUAGUCAGGACACCGCUUUGCGACUUGCAAAGGAAGCGAUUGCAGCUGCUGGAGAAGGUGGCAGAAUAGCCUGUGUGAGCGCCGCCAGUGUUUACCAGAAACUGAGAGCCCUACACAGAGAAGACUUUUCUGUAUACAUCUUUGAAUAUGACAAAAGAUUUGCUAUAUACGGAGAGGAGUUUAUCUUCUAUGAUUACAAUAAUCCAUUGGAUUUACCUGAAAAAAUUGCACGUAGUUUUGACAUCGUAAUAGCAGAUCCCCCCUACCUUUCCAAGGAGUGUCUCAGAAAAACAUCAGAAACUAUCAAGUAUCUGACUCAGGGCAAGAUUCUGCUGUGCACAGGUGCUGUCAUGGAAGAAGACGCAGCAAAAAUUCUUGGCAUGAAGAUGUGCAAGUUUAUUCCAAAACACACCCGGACCCUAGGAAAUGAGUUUCUCUGUUAUGUGAAUAAUGAUUCUGGGCUAGACCAUGAAAUCUAAAUCAGGCUUCCCAUUGAGAAUAGCAAGGUUGCUCCCGUCGCAGCGCAGCCCAGCCCCAGCCCACCCGACGGGAGCCUAGUUUGCAGCCUUCCUCCCUCCGCAACAACGCGGCGUCGUUCCCUCCAGUCCUCUAGUAAAACGCUGGGUCCUCGCCCCCUUCCUGAACAACUGUCUCCCUCCGUGAAUAGAUUCUUGCUGUUGCCGGACUGCACGGUCACCGCAUCCAGACCGGAGAGAAUUGGCUUCGCAGGGGCAGGAGACAACCGUGCCGAAGAAGGCCGUCCCGCAGGGGGAGGAACAAGGGCUGUCGGCGGCGCCCCCGGCGGCCCCUUCUCGCGCUCUAGCGCGCCCACCUCAGCCCGGGAGGCUCUGCGCCGCCGGCCGGGGGCGAGCGGAGGGGCGGGGCAGCCGCGAAAGCCGAGCGCCCCUUCUCGGAGCGCGCGCCCGUGGGCCCGCGCGCGGAGUCGGCCCGCCCCGGCCCGCGGCGCCCCCGCCCCCUUGGGCGCUCCGUAG